UACGAGGGGGGCAAGCGUUGUUCGGAAUUACUGGGCGUAAAGCGCACGUAGGCGGAUUUGUAAGUCAGGGGUGAAAUCCCGGGGCUCAACCUCGGAACUGCCUUUGAUACUGCAAAUCUCGAGUCCGGAAGAGGUGAGUGGAAUUCCUAGUGUAGAGGUGAAAUUCGUAGAUAUUGGGAAGAACACCGGUGGCGAAGGCGGCGACCUGGUCCGAUACUGACGCUGAGGCGCGAAAGCGUGGGGAGCGAACAGG
rnacentral:rRNA from 1 species